GGCGGAUGUAGCCAAGUGGAUCAAGGCA
rnacentral:ncRNA from 92 species